rnacentral:lncRNA from 1 species
GAGGUGGAGAAACUCUGCUCUCACCUGUGCCCUACGUCCUGCAUCUAGAGGCUCUGUGUCAAAUUUCUUCAGUAAAGGAAACUUCAAGCUCUAGAAGUGGCCAUGAAGAUGUAUGGGAAGCAGGUCUCUUGAUCCAGUCUACCCUCUAAGGGAGGAAAUUGUGAAAGACCACAAAUACCAGGUGUGGGAAUUAUUGGAGUCAUGUCAGAAGCUACCUAAGGCAAGUAUGAUUGAAGUAUGAUUUUUAUAGCUCCAGCACCCACCCUCCAAC